GUCCUGCGGGGAGACCUUGAGAGAGGCAGCUGCUGAGACCUCACACAGACCCAUGAUCACACAGGACCGAGACACUAAUGAAUAGAAUGUACAUUUGUUCCUGCUGUGUGAUUGUCCAUCUGUCUGUGCCUGGACAACCACUCCAUCCCCACUGGAUGCAGUAGCAGCACCACUGCCCACUGGCAUCGUGAACCUGGUGUCCAUCACUGAGCUCUGCUGGGGAUAGUCUACGUGGCAGCUGCUGUAGCUCUUGCUCAGAGUGCUGGUGCAACCGUGUGGCUCCCGUGAUGGGAAUUCAUUGUAUUUUUCUGGCUGAAGAGUAUUGCAGUGUCUACGCAUGGGACAGUUUCCUUAUCCCUUCAUCUGCAGAUGGACAGGAUCCCAGAGUAUUGCAGAAGCCCAAGUGGCCAGACCUAGAGCAAGAGCCCAAAAUCAGAACCCUGCAAGCUGGAGACCAGCAGGCAUUACCAUCUGGGGCUCCCGUAGGAGCUGGCGGUGCCAGGCCACGCUGUCCACUCGACUCUGCUGCUUGUUCCAGUGCAUGAGGAGGUGACCUUAACUUCCAGACAAUGUGGCCAGAUGAGGGAACACAGACUGCAUGGAGGACCUUGGAAGAGUUUGCGGGGCACAGCCCUGCUGGCACAAAGCCUGACACAGAAGGACACAGACACUCCUGCACAGUGAACAGUGACUGAUACUUGUCAUUUACAAGCCUCUUCUUCAGCUCAUCCCCAUGUUGAAAGCAAGAGCUGCUGAGGUAGGGUUACAUGCUGCCAAAAAUGAAAACUGAGGUUCAGAGAGUAUGUGAUUGCUUCAAUGGGCCCAGAGUAGUGAUGAGAUAUCCCCAGUGCUGAUGUGACAAAAUCUUGCCAUUCUACUCAUAGUGUUGCUUCUUCCAGGGCAGUGGAUGUAGGAGUCUCUUCUGGGAGCUGAACCUUUGCAGGAGGCUGGACUAGCAGGGAGAGAUGCAGAGAACUGUGGGCACAGGACAGGGUCCACCGAUUGCGAAAGCAAGAAUGGAAUGAGAAGUAUGAGCAAUGGAUCAAUAUACUAGUCGAACCGAAAUAAGAUAUUGUCAGAACUAUUUGUCCAAGGAAAAUCAGAUGUUCACAACAGAAGUUACAUUCUGAGCUAGAUUUAUCAGAGCCUCCAGCCAGGAUCACUGCACCAGGCCUAGAGAGCAGAGGGAAGAUUUGUGUCUCACUUUCCCAUGGGCCUGGAGCCCUGUGUAAGCCUCAGAGCCACUGUGAAAUCCACUGCCCCUGUGCAGACCCCGAGACAGACCCAUUCUCAGGCUGCAGCACAGCAACGUGCAAAAUCCUUGCACAGGCCGACGCAUCUUUAGAUCCCAAGAUGUGGCUGGGAGCCCCAGAGCCCUGUUUCUUACUUGAGUCCACGUAGAAGUUCACGAGAUAUUAGAUAGGGUUCCCUGGAUUCUGCCAGAACCAGUCACCGAUUUCUUCUGAUGGAAUCACUGAUUCAUUGUGGUGAUUAUCCAAGGGUGUAUAAAUAUCUUAAAACACACAAAAUUGGGCACUUUAAAUAUCAGGGGUUUAUUUUGUUAAUUAUUCCUCAAUAAAAAGACACAUAAAAAAUAGGCUGAAACAGGCCGGGCAUGGUGGCUCACGCCUGUAAUCCCAGCACUUUGGGAGGCCGAGGAUGGUCUCGAUCUCCUGACCUCGUGUUCUGCCCGCCUCGGCCUGCCAAAGUGCUGGGAUUACAGGUGUGAGCCACCGCGCCCAGCCUACUGUCCCUCAGUUCUGUAUCUCCCAGAAUGCACUGUGCCACACCAGCCUAUUGUGACCCUCAGUGGAGACCCAUGAAUUUAACCCAAUGUCAUCUGUCUGCAGCGGGUGCAAAGCCUGCAGGUUUUCAGGUGUAGGGAUACCAGCAAAGGAUUAGAUUUCAGAGCCAGAUGGGGACUUGUUCUAAAUUACUCUUACUGUCUCUCAAAUCAACACAUUUUAGUCUCCUCAAAUUCUGUUAUUGCAUUUAGGUGGCGUUACUUUCAACUAGCACACAUGAGAGUUUUUGUAUAAAAUAUGUUGUUUAUUUUACAAAAGCAUAUAAAAUAGAAAUGUUGAACAGUAAAUACAAGAGAUAUCAUAGAUCAACAGUAUAAACACACAUAAACAUUUAACAUUUAUGUUUGAUUCCUUUCCUUCAAAUUUUGUGUUCCUUCAACAUAACAGUUUUAUGAUAACACUUUCUAUAGAGAAAGAAGGAAAAUAAAUCAAAUGGAAAUAUCACACAUUGUUUCGCCGUCUUCUGCCCAGGUUAGUGCUGGAUGCCAUACAGCAUGUGCUUGUAGUACAUAGCUUCCAGCCCUGCACUGUUACUGCCAGGCUCCAGGAGAGUCAGCUCAGUAGGAGGUAGGAGAGAUUCCAGAAGCCAGUCUACGUGAGAUUGUUCUGGGAACAGAAAUAUUCAUAUAAACGACAAAUCAUAUUUUUAGCAAACUUAUACUUGUAUUCCUACCAACUACUGGCUAUUGUUUGAAGUCAAGUUACACUUUUUAGCACUGAUAUAAAUAUGAUUUUGAAUGUUCUUGGAUUUAGUACAGCCACUAUGGAGAACGAUUGGAGGUUCCUCAAAAAACCUAAAAAUAGGGCUACCAUAUGAUCCAGCAAUUUCACUGCUGGAUACAUAUCCUAAAUAAAGAAAAUCAGUAUAUCAGAGAAAUAUCUGCACUCCUAUAUUUGCUGCAGCACUGUUUAGCUAAGAUUUGGAAGCAAUCUAAGUGUCCAUCAACAGAUGAAUGCAUAAAAAAUGUGGUAAAUACACACGAUGGAGUACUAUUCAGCCAUAAAAUAGAAUAAGAGUCUGUCAUUUGCAACAACAGGGAUGGAACUGGAGAUCAUUAUAUUAAGUGUAAUAAGCCAGGCCCAGAAAGGCAAACAUCACAUAUUCUCACUUUUUUAUGGAAUCUAAAAAUCAAAACAUUUGAAACUCAUGUACAUAGAAAGUAGAAUAAUGGUUACCAGAGGCUGGGAAGGUAGCAGGGAGUAGGGGGUGAUGUGGGGAUGGUUAAUGGGUACAAAAAGUAGUUAGAAAGAAUGAAUAGUACCUACUAUUUCAUAGCACAACAGGAUACCUAUGGUCAUAAUAACUUAAUUGUACUUUUUUGAAUUAUGUAAAGAGUGUAAUUGGAUCAUUUAUAACACAAAUGAUAAAUGCUUGAGAGGAUGGAUACCCCAUUCUUCAUGAUAUAAUUAUUUCACAUUGCAUGCCUGUAUCAAAACAUCUCAUAAACCCCAUAAAUAUAUACACCUAUUAUGUACCCACGAUAAUAAAAAAUAAAAAAGAACAAAAGGA